GGGGUAUGCUCAGGUCAGAGACCUAAAGUCAUGGCUUUUUUGUUUAAAACACACAAACCAGGAUCUGGGCUGAGAGACAAGGAAAACAAAAUGUGUGGUUGACCUAUGAACACACACGUCCACACAC